rnacentral:rRNA from 1 species
CCUACGUGAGGCAGCAGUGGGGAAUAUUGGGCAAUGGGCGCAAGCCUGACCCAGCAACGCCGCGUGAAGGACGCAGGCUUUCGGGUUGUAAACUUCUUUUCUGGGGGACGAACAACUGACGGUACCCCAGGAAUCAGCCACGGCUAACUACGUGCCAGCAGCCGCGGGAAUACGGAGGUGGCAAGCGUUAACCGGAUUUAUUGGUUGUAAGGGGCGUGUAGGCGGGAAUGAAAGUCAGGUGUGAAAACUCAGGGCUCCACCCUGAGCCUGCAUUUGAAACUGUGUUUCUUGAGUGCUGGAGAGGCAAUCGGAAUUCCGGGUGUAGCGGUGAAAUGCGUAGAUAUACGGAGGAACACCAGUGGCGAAGGCGGAUUGCUGGACAGUAACUGACGCUGAGGCGCGAAAGCGUGGGGAGCAAACAGGAUUAGAUACCCGAGUAGUC